CCUACGGGUGGCUGCAGUGGGGAAUUUUGGACAAUGGGCGCAAGCCUGAUCCAGCUACUCCGCGUGUGGGAUGACGGCCUUCGGGUCGUAAACCUCUGUUGUAGAGGACGAACGGUCUGUUGGUAAUACCGAUAGAUGUUGACGGUACUCUAAGAAUAAGCACCGGCUAACUACGUGCCAGCAGCCGCGGUAAUACGUAGGGUGCGAGCGUUAAUCGGAAUUACUGGGCGUAAAGGGAGUGAAGGCGGUUUUGCAAGAUGGAUGUGAAAGCCCCGGGCGUAACCUGGGAAAGACAUACAUGACGGGAAGAGUAGAGUGCGUAAGAGGUGGGUGGAAUUACAAGUGUAGCAGUGAAAUGCGUAGAUAUUUGGAAGAACACCGAGGGCGAAGGCAGCCGCCUGGGACGCAACUGACGCUCAUACACGAAAGCGUGGGGAGCAAACAGGAUUAGAUACCCUUGUAGUC
rnacentral:rRNA from 1 species